rnacentral:rRNA from 1 species
ACGGGGAGCAGCAGGCGCGAAACCUUUACACUGCACGCCAGUGCGAUAAGGGAAUCCCAAGUGCGCAGGCAUAGAGCCUGCGCUUUUGUACACCGUAGGGAGGUGUACGAAUAAGGGCUGGGCAAGACCGGUGCCAGCCGCCGCGGUAAUACCGGCAGCCCGAGUGAUGGCCGAUCUUAUUAGGCCUAAAGCGUCCGUAGCUGGCCGCACAAGUCCAUCGGAAAAUCCACCCGCCCAACGAGUGGGCGUCCGGUGGAAACUGUGUGGCUUGGGACCGGAAGGCGCGACGGGUACGUCCGGGGUAGGAGUGAAAUCCCGUAAUCCUGGACGGACCGCCGAUGGCGAAAGCACGUCGCGAGGACGGAUCCGACAGUGAGGGACGAAAGCCAGGGUCUCGAACCGGAUUAGAUACCCGGGUAGUCCUGGCCGUAAACAAUGCCUGCUAGGUGUGGCUCCCGCUACGAGCGGGUGCUGUGCCGUAGGGAAGCCGCUAAGCAGGCCGCCUGGGAAGUACGUCCGCAAGGAUGAAACUUAAAGGAAUUGACGG